AACUGAUUAGAAGCUUGCUUCUAUGACGUUAGCGGCGGACGGGUNAGUAACACGUGGGCAACCUGCCUGUAAGACUGGGAUAACUUCGGGAAACCGAAGCUAAUACCGGAUAGGAUCUUCUCCUUCAUGGGAGAUGAUUGAAAGAUGGUUUCGGCUAUCACUUACAGAUGGGCCCGCGGUGCAUUAGCUAGUUGGUGAGGUAACGGCUCACCAAGGCAACGAUGCAUAGCCGACCUGAGAGGGUGAUCGGCCACACUGGGACUGAGACACGGCCCAGACUCCUACGGGAGGCAGCAGUAGGGAAUCUUCCGCAAUGGACGAAAGUCUGACGGAGCAACGCCGCGUGAGUGAUGAAGGCUUUCGGGUCGUAAAACUCUGUNNUUAGGGAAGAACAAGUACAAGAGUAACUGCUUGUACCUUGA
rnacentral:rRNA from 1 species